rnacentral:rRNA from 1 species
GAUGAACGCUGGCGGCGUGCCUAAUACAUGCAAGUCGAGCGAACGGACGAGGAGCUUGCUCCUCUGACGUUAGCGGCGGACGGGUGAGUAACACGUUGAUAACCUACCUAUUAGACUGGGGUAACUGCGGGAAACCGGAGCUAAUACCGGAUAAUAUAUUGAACCGCAUGGUUCAAUAGUGAAAGACGGUUUUGCCGUUACUUAUAAUUGGAUCCUCGCCGCAUUAGCUACUGGGUAAGGUAACGAUCUACCAAGGCAACGAUGCGUAGCUGACCUGAGAGGGUGAGCGGCCACACUGAAACUGAGACACGGACCAGGGCCCUACGGGAGGGAGAAGUAGGGAAACUUACGCAAUGGGCGAGAGCGUGACGGAGCAACGGCGCGGGAGUGAUGAAGGUCUUCGGAUCGUAAAAUUCUGUUAUUAGGGAAGAAGAAAUGUGUAAGUAACUAUGCACGUCUUGACGGUACCUAAACAGAAAGCCACGGCUAACUACGUG